rnacentral:rRNA from 1 species
UACGUAGGGUGCGAGCGUUGCCCGGAUUUAUUGGGCGUAAAGGGCGCGUAGGCGGCCACGCACGUCCGUUGUGAAAUCGCCCGGCUCAACUGGGCGGGGUCAGCGGAUACGGUGUGGCUCGAGCAAGCUAGGGGGCAAUGGAAUUCCCGGUGUAGUGGUGGAAUGCGUAGAGAUCCGGAAGAACACCGGUGGCGAAGGCGGCCUGCUGGGCAGUAUAGCUGACACUGAGGCGCGACAGCGUGGGGAGCAAACAGG